GGGUGAUUGCGCAACGACACCAGGUUGUCGACACACUAAGGCAUGCCAGGUAUACACCCACAGUACUGGCAUUCAGAUCGAAUGUUC